rnacentral:rRNA from 1 species
UACGUAGGUCGCAAGCGUUGUCCGGAUUUAUUGGGCGUAAAGAGCGUGUAGGCGGCUAGAUAGGUCCGUUGUGAAAACUCGAGGCUCAACCUCGAGACGUCGAUGGAAACCAUCUGGCUAGAGUCCGGAAGAGGAGAGUGGAAUUCCUGGUGUAGCGGUGAAAUGCGCAGAUAUCAGGAAGAACACCCGUGGCGAAGGCGGCUCUCUGGUACGUGACUGACGCUGAGACGCGAAAAGCGUGGGGAGCAAACAGG